GUCCACGCCCUAAACGAUGUCGACUAGCCGCUGGAGGAAUUAAAUCCUUCAGUGGCGCAGCUAACGCGAUAAGUCGACCGCCUGGGGAGUACGGCCGCAAGGUUAAAACUCAAAGGAAUUGACGGGGGCCCCGCACAAGCGGUGGAGCAUGUGGUUUAAUUCGAUGCAACGCGAAGAACCUUACCUGGCCUUGACAUCCCGGGAACUUUCCAGAGAUGGAUUGGUGCCUUCGGGAACCCGGAGACAGGUGCUGCAUGGCUGUCGU
rnacentral:rRNA from 1 species